rnacentral:lncRNA from 1 species
CCCUACAGCACUGCACCCGCUCAGAAGGAAUACUCAAAAUUCAUUCCUCCACACUUUGCGACAGAGGGCUGAAGAAACUCACUUCUGUAUGGCAGGAAGGACCGUCCGUCCCUGUUGCGUCCCCCUGUGCGCUGCAAGGCGCGGUUGGAUCUCUGGCAGCCUGCUGGCUGCUGCUCCCAACCGCGGGGAACCGCACCGCGCCACUUCUGAAGAGAGAAAGGGAGAAACGGUGGUGGGAACGGGCAGCCAAGGUUUGCAGAGAGGUUCCAGAUCGUGCCACAGAUGGGAUAUCAGAGUGCUGAGACACUGAUUAUCACUAUGGGAAAAGACAGCCUGAGCCACGUCCACGUUGUUAGCCCAGGCUGUCAGCAGUGAGCGCUGAAUCCAACCGGUUACUGAGGUCACCAAGGACCAGCAGGGCUCCCCUUGCUCCGUCCCUUCCCCUUGAAAACAAGGAAACGGAAGCACCAAGCAGAAGAAGCCCAGCCAUACCUUGCCACUCACACGGCAGGAAUUGGAACCGCGGUCGUCUCCUUGCUGAGACAUGGCUGCUGAAGGCUCAGAGGAAGCUGAAGUUCCAGAGGCUCUCUCUGCAGGAACUUCCCCAGCCCUUGGAAAGAGCUGGCUUCCCUCUUCCUAAGACCGCCUCUAUCCCGGAAUCUCCUUUGGGACAGGAAUCCUGCAGAAAGUACCGACGAGUGCACACGCGAUGCUUCCGUCGGGCUCUCACAGGGUGAUCUGUUCCACAGAAGGCCCAGAGCUCAGUCUCUGCGUGCAGCACGCUCACCAGAGCACCAGCUCUGCUCACCAGCUGUGGCACAAACGCUCCCACCCCAGCAGUGGUUGUGACCUCAGCGAGUGCCCGCAUCGCCUCGGUGCUUUCAUCAUAAGCGAAGGAAAUGGACGCCUCCCAGCUCCACAUCUUAGGGUCACCCAAUGGGGUUAUCUGAAGAACAGGAAUGGAGAAGUGAAGACGACUCUUGUGCAGCCCAAUAAAAAACAGAAAAGACCAAUACGGCUUCACAGUGGUCAAUGGAGUCCCAGAGGAAUCACUGGAAACCAAUAGCAACGCACGCCUGGAUGUCCCGGGGCUGGUGCAGGUCUGUCUGGCUGUGGCGUUAGGUUCGGGGACCGAUGUAGGCCUCUCAGGCUGUGGCUGUACCUUCAGGCCUCGGGGCCGGUAUAGGCCUCUUGGGCUGUGGCUUUAUAUUCAAAGCUGGUGCUGGCCUCUUGUGCCAUGGCUGUGGCUUUAGGCCCUUGGCCUGGUUCCAGCCUCUCUGGCUGUGGCUUUAGGCCCGGGGGCCAAUGCUGGCCUUUUGGG